GCCUGAGUGGCUCAGUUGGUUAAGCGUCUGACUUCAGCUCAGGUCAUGAUCUCACGGUUCGUGGGUUCGAGCCCCUCAUCUGGCU
rnacentral:tRNA from 1 species